rnacentral:lncRNA from 10 species
AAAAAAAAAAAGAAUGUUUGUGCAUUAAAGGAUAUUAUCAAGAAAAUGAAAAGACAACCCACAGAGUGGAGAAAAUAUUUGUAAGUCAUAUAUCAUUUGUAAAUCAUAUAUCAUAUCAUAUCAUAUAUCUGUUCAGGGACCUGUAUCUAGCAUGUAAAAAGAAUGCUAGCCAGGCACAGUGGCUUACACCUGUAAUCCCAGCACUUUGGGAGGCUGAAGCAGGAGGAUUGCCUGAGCCCAGGAGUUCAAGACCAGCCUAGGCAACAUAGUGGGGCCCUGUCUCUACAAUAAAAUAAAAAAUUAGUCGGCCAUGGUGGUGCACACCUGUAGUCCCAGUUACUCAGGAAGCUGAGACAGGAGGACUGCUUGAACCCAGGAAGCUGUGGCUUCAGUGAGCCAUGAUCACGCCACUGCAUUAUAGCCUGGGUGACAGAGCAAGACCCUGGUCCAAAAAUAAUAAUAAUAACAAUAAUCCAAUUAAAAAUAGUCAAAGAAUCUGAAGGGACAUUUCUCCAGUAAGCACAAGAAAAGAUGCUCAGCUCAGCAUCAUUAAUCAUUAAGGAAAUGCACACCAAAACCACAAUGAGAUAUUACUUCACACCCACUAGGAUGGUUAGAAUCAAAGACAGAUGACAACAAGUGUUGACAUGGAUGUGGAGAAAUCGUUACCCAUAUAUACUUCUGGUAAGACUGUAAAACGAUACAGCAACUUUGGAAAACAAACUGGCAGUUCCUUAAAAGAUUAAACAGAGUUACCUUAUGACCCAGCAGUUGCUCAGUGUACAGCUAGGUAUACACUCAAGAGAAAUUAAAACAUAUGUCCAAACAAAAACUUAUACACAAAUGUUUAUAGCAGCAUUACAUAAUAACCAAAAUGUGUAAAUCCAAAUGGCUAUCAAUGGAUGAAUGGAUAAACAAAAUGUGGUAUAUCCAUGCAAUAGAGUAUUAUUUGGCCAUAAAGAGGAAUGAAGUACCAAUACAUGCUACAACAUAGAUGAACUCUGAAAACAUUAGGCUGAGUAAAGGAAGAUAAGACAGAAAAAGGCACUACUGUAUGAGCCCAUUUAUAUGAAAUGUCCAGAACAGGCAAAUCUAUAGAGACAGAAAACAAAUUAGUGGUACCAGGAGUUAAGGGGGAGAAGAGAAGGAAUGACUGCUUAAGGGUACAGGGUUUCUUUUUGGGGUAAUGAAAACAUUCUGGAAUUGAUAAUGAUGAUAAUUGUACAACGUUGUGAAUGUACUAACGGCCACUAAAUUAUACACUUUAAAAUGGUGAAUUUUAUAUGAAUUUUACUUCAAUUUUAAAAAAGAAAAAGAAUGAAGUACUGCUGUGUGCUGCUAUAUAGAUGAAACCGGAAAACAUUAUACUAAGUGGAAGAUGCCAGUCACAAAAGACCACAUAUUAUUAUGAUCCCAUUUCUGUGAAAUAUCCAAAAUGGGCAAAUAUAUAGAGAAACAGCAGAUUAGUGCUAGCCAGGGGUUGGGGAGGAUUGGAGGGUGAUAUCUAAACAGUAGAUUUUCUUUUGGGGUUGGUGAAAAUGUUCUAAAAUUGAUUCUGGUGAUGGUUGUACAAUUCUGUAAAUACACAAAAACCAUUAAAUCUUACACCUUACAUGGGUAAAUUUUAUGGUAAAUUGCAUUUCAAUAAAGCUUUUUUAAAAAAGAAUCAGGGCUGGGUGCAAUGGCUCACACCUGCAAUCCCAACACUUGAGGAGGUCGAGGCAGGAGGAUGGCUUGAGGCCAGGAGUUCAAGACCAGCCUAGGCAAGACAGCAAGACCCCCACCUCUACAAAAAAUUAAAGGAAAAAAAAAAAGAAUCAUUGAGUUAGUGUGGAAUGGACUCUGAUUUCAAGGAAAAGGGAGGGAUAAGAUAAUUUUUCUUUUUAAAAGAGAGAGGAUCUAUGUUGCCCAGGCUGGAGUGCAGUGGCUAUUCACAGGUGCAUUCAUUGUGCACUACAGCCUCUAACUCCUGGGCUCAAGUGAUCCACCUCAGCCUCUACAUAGCUGAGAUGGAUCACUUGAGCCCAGGAGUUUGAAACUACAGGGAGCUAUGAUUGCACCACUGCCCUCCAGCCUGGACAAUAGAGCAAAAAUAUGUCUUUAAAAUGAUAGUAACAAUAAAAAUAAUUUCAAUUCUUCCCUUAGCUACCUACCACAGCAGUGAACGUUUAUACUUCACAACCACUACUACUCAGCUUCUCUACUUUAUGCCAGCUAAAAGUAGGUGCUAUCCCAUGGUUUUAACAUCUGUUCUGUUUUUCAGUGGUAUCAGCUCCUCUUGUUCUAGGUACUGUCAAACCUCAAAUCCCAGUCCUGAUGCUUCUCUCCAGGGCCUCUUCCCAACUCUUUUGAUGGACAUCUCUAGGAGGAUUUCAUGCCAGCAUUUCAAACAUGACAGGAGUGCUGGGGUGAACAGAGGGCACAAAACAUACACAUGAGAAAAGAACCAGUGGAUUCACACAAUUUUGGCUUCAAGUCAGGAAUAAUGAAUGGGACAAGGUGGAAUGCUACAUAAGAUGGGCAUGUAGAUCUGAUAAAGAGUGGCACAGGUUGGGAAACAAGGGAGGCUUCCACAGAAGGGAAGGGCAAAGGGUGUUCUAUAGUGAAAAGGCCCAGUGGAGCGGGGGCAUAGCACUAUUUGGGGCUUCAGACAGUUAAAGUCGGUGCUGCAUGAUGCCUGGGCUUGUCUUCUCAGUCUUCUCUCUUUAUCAGACAAAGAACAGGAACUUAACAAAAUGUGUUGCAUGGCAAAGGAAAAUAGCGGUGGGAUAAUAGGAUUGAUUUGGGAAGAGGUGGAGGCAGUGAAUUCAGACAACUCCAACCACUUCAUAAAGGUUCUCAGGUGCAGCCAGGCUUUCCUAAGAUGACUGAUCUCAUCUGUGCCUGGUGGCAGGAGAGACUGAUCCUCCUCACAACCCCUAUAGAACAGUGGGGCUCCCCCACAUCUCAGACACACAUAAUUAUAUUAUCAUUUUAUUACACUUUUUUUUAAAUAGUAGAGACGGGGUCUUGUUAUGUUCCACAGGCUGGUCUUGAACUCCUGGGACCAAGCAAUC